rnacentral:rRNA from 1 species
AUUGAACGCUGGCGGCAGGCCUAACACAUGCAAGUCGAACGGUAACAGGAAGAAGCUUGCUUCUUUGCUGACGAGUGGCGGACGGGUGAGUAAUGUCUGGGGAACUGCCUGAUGGAGGGGGAUAACUACUGGAAACGGUAGCUAAUACCGCAUAAUGUCGCAAGACCAAAGAGGGGGACCUUCGGGCCUCUUGCCAUCGGAUGUGCCCAGAUGGGAUUAGCUAGUAGGUGGGGUAACGGCCCACCUAGGCGACGAUCCCUAGCUGGUCUGAGAGGAUGACCAGCCACACUGGAACUGAGACACGGUCCAGACUCCUACGGGAGGCAGCAGUGGGGAAUAUUGCACAAUGGGCGCAAGCCUGAUGCAGCUAUGCCGCGUGUAUGAAGAAGGCCUUCGGGUUGUAAAGUACUUUCAGCGGGGAGGAAGGGAGUAAAGUUAAUACCUUUGCUCAUUGACGUUACCCGCAGAAGAAGCACCGGCUAACUCCGUG